UACAGAGGGGGCAAGCGUUGUUCGGAAUUACUGGGCGUAAAGGGCGAGUAGGCGGCCUUCUAAGUCAGACGUGAAAUCCCCCGGCUUAACCUGGGAACUGCGUCUGAUACUGGGAGGCUUGAGUAUGGGAGAGGGAUGUAGAAUUCCAGGUGUAGCGGUGAAAUGCGCAGAUAUCAGGAGGAACACCUGCGGCGAAGGCGGGUUGCUGGGCCGACACUGACGCUGAGGCGCGAAAGCUAGGGGAGCGAACGGG
rnacentral:rRNA from 1 species